AUGAGAAAAUUUAUCAGGAGUCAACAACAAGAUGGUGGAGUCGAAGGAUGUGCACUCAUUUUCUCCCUUGAAAACUCCAGGGAGAGUUGGAGUUGGCAACUCAUUGCUGAACAACCAUCAACAGGAGAAUGUUGGAUCCAACCAAAAAAGAUACCCCAUGUCCAAGGACAAAGGAGAAGCCCCAACAAGAUGGUAGGGAAAAAUUUAGAGUCUUUAUUUAUUUCACUUAGUGUGAACGUUCAGAGGUUCAGUGCAAAAACAGUAAUAUGUUUGUUUAUAAGGUGCUUUCAGACCCUUAGAAAAAAGGGUUUGAAAAAAGGGAUUGUGGAUUGUACUGUGGAUGGCUUCUAUAUUGUUUUCCAUUCAUAUUUUUGUGUGGUUUACUUCUUCUCAUGUAUGCAUGCAUGCUAAGUUGCUUCAGCUGUGUCUGAGUCUUCACAACCCUAUGGACUGUAGCCCACCAGGAUCCUCUGUCCAUGGGAUUCUCUGGGCAAGAAUACUGGAGUAAUAUAUAAAUUAAAAAUAAUAAUAAUACUGGAGUGUGUUGCCCUCCUCCAGGGGAUCUUCCUGACCAAGUAUUGAACCCAUGUCCUACGUCUCCUGCAUUGGCAGAUGGGUUCUUUAUCACUAGUACCACCUGGGAAGUCCCUUCUCAUGUAUAAUUGAUAUAAAGUAGGAGUAUGAUCAUCUCCCAUGUCCUGGUUUCCCCUCUUAGGCAUGGCCCGUCUUCCUCCUGCUCACCCGAGCAUCCACCCUUCCAUCCAUGUCCUCAACCUCAUGUACAGCCUUCAGCACAUUUCAUGGGCUCUGAAAUCAUAUGUAGAAACAUGUGUACAUACAUGCAAAUAUGGUUUGAGGCAGUAUCUAUAUCUCUUUUUCCAUUUUAUAGACAUGAAACAAUAUCAUGCACACAGUAUCUUGCUUUUCCACCACACCCGACAGGUGCAGCUGGUCCUCUCCAGGGGCCUUAGUCCUCUCCAUCCCCUUUACUUAUUUCCUUCCCUCCUCGUUCCUGGGGGCAUUUGGACGACCACCUUUCUUUAGAUCAGUGGACCCUUCCCCGUGAGUCUCAGACACUGGGGGACACAGGAGAUAACAAGAGGUCCUGGGAUCCAUGUGACCACCAUGCUCUAGGGCAGGAGGUCAGCAAGCUUUUCCGAAAACUUUAAAAAAAAAUAUGACAAAGAAUAUACUUUUUAUUUUUGGAAAUUCAUCUUGAUUUCCUGGGGUUACUGCAGUGAAUUAUCACAAGCCUGGUGGCUUAAAACAACAGAGAUGUGUUCUCUCACAGUUCCAGAGGUCAGCGUUUUGAAACAAGGUGUCAGCAGGACUGCGGUCUCUCAUGCCCCAGGGGAGGUCCCUCUUUGUCUCUUUUAGCUUCUGGAGACCCCUUAGCCAUGUUAUCCAACUCAGGCUUGUUUGCUCAUUCCUCAAGAGGCCAAACACUGAGAGAUGAAUGUUGGGCUUUGCCUGGGACAAAGUGCUGCACCUCUGCUGUGAACACAAUCACCACCCACAUCUGUGCAUCAGCCCAUGAUGGGCAGCGGGUUGAAAAAUAUAAUAAACGUUUCCACCAUUUUUUGUGGAUAAUCUCU
ensembl:lncRNA